GGCUAGCGAUGAACAGUUGGCCGGAGAGCAUCGAACAUAUGGUGGAAAUUCCCUCCUUUGAUUUAGCAAAAAACAAUAUAGAAUUCGAUGUAGCUGAUUCACAAGACAAUGUUAAUUGCUUUAGGAAUUGCCCAUUGGAUUUUCUUACCUCCCACUGUAAACGCCCUCAAAAACCUGUAUCAAAUGCGAAAAGAAAUCCGUCCAAGUGAACUCAUAUGAUGAAUAAAUAUUAAACGCAGAAUGCGGAACGCACUCAGUAUUUGAAAGUCGGGUUUAUGAUGUGUGUAAUGACUGUGCAAGUAUUUAAAUAGACUAAUACAAGUGAAUGAAGAUCAACUGUCUGGAUUCAUAUGAAUAGAUACUAGUAAUACCGAUGUAUACCUAUACGAUUUGUUGUAAUGUUUUACAGACGAUGACAUAUAUAAUAAGUUAAGGCUAUCAAGUUCUUUAACAAUCAUAACUAUUUAGCGUUCACAAUUUUAUAUCAACUGUACACUUUAAAAUAGAUACAGGACACGGUAGAAACAUGAUCCCGUAGAAUGUUAUUAUUGUGUUAGAAAAGACAUUUAAACUCUUACUGUAAACAAUCUAUAGUUUUGACAAUUGAAGGUCGUACGUAAGUAUUCACAUUGUAAAAUAAAUAAAUGAAUCUG
rnacentral:sRNA from 1 species